rnacentral:rRNA from 1 species
UUUGGCAGCCAUAUCACCCUGUAGCCCAAGACUGGUUGCCCACUGAAGCUAAGCAGGGUUGAGCUGGUCAGUACCUGGAUGGGAGACCUCCUGGGAAAACAAGGUUGCUGCUGGAA